UAUGAAUCUGGAAGUUUGCAAAUAUAUAGAGAUAAAAUGACCAUGAAAAACUAUUACUAUUGCUAAUAUAUAUGUAUGUUUUUGUUUAACAACAAUUGUUUCAUUUCAGUCAUUUAAAACAAUGAGUUAUUAGCGACUGUGUAAUAAAUGGAAAGCUUGAACAUGUUCAUUACUUUUUCAUGUAAUUUCAUAUUAAUAACAAUGAAAACAGGCAAUACUUAAGGUUUCAGAUGUCAAAAUUCCACAGAAAGGCAGGGUCAGCAGUAUUUAUGAUCUUUUUCAUGAUAAGAUUUUCCAUUUUCAAUGCUUGUGCUUCUGCUUGCCCACUCUACCUGCUGCAACUGUGGUCUCAGGGACCACACUCGGGUGUGUGUGACUCUGCAACACUCGACACAUCGGGUCUAAACAUCCUGAACUGUUUUCUGCUCAGGGACCUCUAGUGGUCAUCGCACCAUUACUGCUACAGUCCCAAACCAAAUCAGAACCAGGUUUGCUUCUUCCUGCAGCAGUACAACUGCGUCACCUCAGAAAGUCAGUUGUCUACACCGUCAAAUCGUAGGUUGACCUCAAAAACUAGAGUCUCUGUGCUGUAAAUAUUUUGGUCAUUUGACUCUUUAAAAAUGUGCACUGUACUUGUAAGGAGACGAGAUUAACUUCAUGAUUACAUCAGCACAAAAAGACAUUUCAAAACACAUGACCAAUGAAUGAAAACGACUGCGAAGCCUCUUUGUAAACUUCAUAUUCACAGCGGUGAUUGAAGACUGAAAGCAGAUGUCUGCUUUGGUUCGGCUCUCUGCGUUAUUAGGGACGACUCGGUGGGGAGACAUGAUGGAGGACUAAAAGAAAUUUUUGUUUUGCAGCCUGACUGUUACUUUCUGCCAACAGACCGAACCCAUUAUCAACGCAGAGGUCGCAAAGAGGAGCCAUUAUAUCAACAAACAUCCUGCGUCCCACAGUCGUCCAGGCUGAUAAGUGACAGCGAAGACAUAAAUGUACGGCGUCAAGAGAGGACAGACAUCCCAUAAUUCAGCUGAGUCCAUGUGAAGGUAGAGUCGUUGAAACGUGGGUCAAGAACAACGGAAAAGCCAGGCGGUCACAUGACCUGUGAAGGCCGCGUGAGUCUUUAAAGGACGCUGCGUGACUGACCUGUGGGUUUUUGAAAACCUCGAAUUUCUCCGGCCGCUCCUGGAAGAGGAUUUUGUUCUCGCUGUCCCUCAUCCAGGCCAGCAGCGGCUCCACAAGGUUCUCGUGGUCUUCAAAGGUGCGCUCUGUGGGACGGAGAGGCACAAGUGAAAGUCAGAGAUCACAGUGUCCUGAGCUCACCAGGGUUCGGGGUCAGUUAGGGUCAUCAAAGUGGUUUUAAUUUACCACUUCAGAAAAGGUCAAACAAAUGCUCCCUUGAAGUGGAGCGACCCUAGACACCGCACCCGGCUUCACGACAACAUCAGCACUCAACACUGUAAAUGAGUCAAUACUGUUGUUGGUCUCUGUGAAGCUGUGUCACUAAGACCAUGUGCCCACCAGGGGGCUCCCUUUAAGGGCAAAGUCACUGAGCGUGGCUACAUGUUGGCUCGGGAAACACAAUGACUGCGAACUACACAACCUGGAUCAUGCGGUUAAUAGCUAGACUAAGCUACCAUGUAGCCGAGUAGCUCAUACUGGGGGACUGGGAGCUUCAGCUACGCAACAUAAUAAACAAAAGCUCCUCCGACACGAGUGGUCCUUGGACUUUUUCGACGCCUGACUUAACAUAACAAACCUGUUGUCACUCGUGACGAUGCUGUACAUUCAUCUUCAACCGCCUACUGUCGCUUUGUUCGAAGAAUAGAAGAGUUAAGGAUAAGACAUUACCACCACACUAGCAAGCGUUAGCAUGGCCGCUGAGUGAGUCGGGGCUCACGCCGAUGAUGGAGCGCUCUAGAUGCUCGACAUCUAUGAUUCUUGUGAUAUACUAUUCACUUUACUGCAAAUAUGCUUCACUGUUUGUGCGUUCAGUAUAAAGCUUGUGCUAGUGGGUUAGCAAAAUGACAUUGACGGGAAAGCAAUGCUUCUGAAUGUUUCAUUUUCAUUGUUCUCUCUGUGUUUUAUUCCAGACAUUGACAGUGAGCUGCCACAGAUGGGUUCUGCUGUUUUCAGUCUGUUAACUUCAAAAGGUAAACACAUCAGACGUCAUCAGUUGUCAGUGGAAAUGGCCCUGAAAAGAUUUCGGUAGCUGAGAAAACAGUGGGAGGACUGAGGAGCUCACUGCGCCUCGCCAUGACUCACAGUUUGUUUUGCUCUGCACUGCAUGUAAACCCAGGUUAAGAUGACAACAUCGGACUCGGUGGCUUCAUCAAGCUGCAUGGAACCGCAGUCAGUGACACACAUUCCUGUUUUCUACGCAAGGGUCCAGUAGGGGAUGGAAGGGAGGUUUCACAGAACCAAGGUCGGCCAGACCCUUCGCUCGCGUUACAAGAUGGAGUUGUCAGGCCAGACGGAAUUCCAGGCGGGAAACUGGAGCCAAUCUUCUGGAUCUCAAUUAGAACGGCUGAGCUACUAUUUCCUCUGGAUUUCCAGCUCCACAUCUGCUGCCUUCUUACAUGACACUAGCCUACAGCUCCGAGUGGACUGAGACCCACACCACCUGAGCCCAGCUGCUGCUUGGACCGGGGCGCGAUGACGUCUCAGCCCCUGCUAAACACAUACGCUCCUGUCUGGCCGUCUCCCCCGACAGCACCACAUCAUUACCUCGCCACACUUUGGUACUGACCCGGUUCCUCUUUCUCCUCAUGGCCAGCAGGUGCUUGAUCUGUUCCAGGUGACUGCUGGAACCAGAGCCUGUUUCUCAUCUCCUGCGUAGGACUCCACUCAGAGCAAACUCAACUUGAUAUUGUCCGUUUACUGUCCAGGUACAAAUCUCUCCCGCCUUUAUCUGGGUGUCUUCUCCUGCCCCUCACAGCUUCCAGUGCCACCUUCUCUUUUACUUUGCAUCACGUUUUAUGUCUAGAUUUAUAGGACCAAGUUCACGUUCUGUGUUUGCAAUUGUAUACGAUGAACGUUUGAAUUCCAGACUCCUGCAUAUUCUCCCCAUAAAAACUCUGGGUGUUUUUUCAAUCAACUCUUCCACAUUGAUAUCACGAUUUCAGAAGGUUGCAGCUUGAAAAGAGAUGAUCUGAAGUUUGGAAUGGGAGUGAGUUCUCUCAUCUCCUUAGUAUGUUAUGACGUCACCUGGCAGCAGCCAUGGUGAGUUAUGUAGCUUGUACUGAUGUUUCUGUGAUCCACUGGAUGGUUGAGCACUAGAACUGUCAUGUGCGUGUGGAACUGUCACAGCAAACAGACUCGCUCUCACCUCACGCCGAGGCAGCGCAUGAUCUUCCACACAGUGUGAACACUCCUCUUCAGAAUCGGGGUCCGUCAAAUCCACUUUCCUGGUCUUUGUUUGAAACCACCACCUCCCUCUUGCCCUCGACCGGGUGACGGGCGGUUUUCAAACUCUAUUUAGUCCAAAAGUUUGAUAGAGUCACGCCCAGACCGAAGUUUCAGGUGAGCGCCACCUGCUUGUGUAAAGUAGUCACCACAUCCGGCUCCAUUUUUGGAGCUGGGCUUGUUUAAAUACAGCGAUGCUGCCAAUUUACUGUUGGUCACAAGUGACUCACUACUGUGUCCUCACUGAGUGGCUGAGCACAGACGGAUGGUCUGUUCUGUUCUGACCUAUUCAGUUCUGAGUUUGGGUCUUCUAAUGAGCAUGUGGAACAUUUUGCCUUUUGGCUCAGCUCUUUCAUCACCAAGACGAAUCUCCUCCCCAAGUGCAGGGGUUUACGUUUCGUGGGGUCUUGAUCACAAGUGAAGGGAAUAGUGAGUGAGAAAUGGACAGGUCAGGGCAGCGGCAGCAGUCAUGAAGAGGACGCCGAUCCAGAAGGAAAGGCUGUCCUUUCACUGGACAAUCCUCUGACCACGGCAGCUCUGAGGAGCGGCCAAGAUAGGAGCCGGAUGAGGUGGUUUGGGAUCUGGUUGGAUUGUCUCCCGGACGCCUCUCUCUGGGGUCAGUGUUUGGGGCAUGUCUGCCACAGGUCUCACCCAAGACACAGCUUGGCCUCCCUGCUGAAACUGUUGCCCCCCUGACCCGGAUUCUUGCUAUGCACUGAGACAGCAGAAGACUACGUGUCACUUUUUUUGCUCACUGUCAUCCCAGAGAGUGAAUAAAGGUAGCGUUCAAAUAGGUUAAGAAAAUAGCGUUGUUUGGGACAAAUUUACUUUCAACGUCAAUUUAGUUUAAAUUUCAAAGAUAGCAGUGCUGCGUCUCUGACUUGUGAUGUGCACAUUAGAGAAAACAUAUUUUCUUUUUGCUGCUCUGAAGGCGGGUUGAAUAUUUUGGGCUUGAAUUAUGGACAUUCAUGUUCGCAGUUUGACAUAAUAGAAGGUCUUUUUUCAUAGAAUCUAUUGGGUUAUUUAUAAAUCAAUAAAACCAGAUGGAAUUUAAAUCUUUUUUUUUCUAAUUCUUAUGAAUCUUUUUUUUUUUCUUUUUUUUUUUUUCUCGCGCCGGAGUGAAUCUGCUGAAACCUCCACUGACCACCAAGUCAUAUCUUUCGCUCCUCUGUGGGUUUGUGUUUCACUAGACUCUCACUUCUCGCUUUCUGGCUCAGUUCCUGCUUAUAAAGCAGGUGAAAAGUCCCUCCCUUCACACACUCACUUUUGUGGGCUUGGUGGACUGAGGCGGCGGCGGCGGGAGGGGAGAGGUGGAGGAGG